GGGUCAGUAGGUUGGUCGUGCCACCGGUACGUACUGGUCUCACUGAUUCCUCCUUCCUGAAGAACCGUAAUGCCAUUAAUUUGGUGUUGCGGGGAAACAGGACUGUUACUUUGAAAAAAUUAGAGUGUUUAAAGCAAGCUAACGCUUGUAUACAUUAGCAUGGAAUAAUGAAAUAGGACGAUCGAUCAUAUUUUGUUGGUUUCUAGGAUUGACGUA
rnacentral:rRNA from 1 species